rnacentral:rRNA from 1 species
CCUACGGGGGGCUGCAGCAACGAAUCUUCCCCAAUGCCGGAAACGGUGAGGGAGCGACGCCGCGUGUGGAUGAAGUCUUUCGGGAUGUAAACCACUGUUAGGGUUCUAAAGCCGGUGAGAAAGGGACGGCUAACUCUGUGCCAGCAGCCGCGGUAAUACAGAGGUCCCAAGCGUUACUGAGAAUCACUGGGUUUAAAGGGUGCGUAGGUGGUCCGUUAAGUUCGUUGUGAAAUCCCCAGGCUCAACCUGGGAACUGCUUCGAAUACUGGCGGACUUGAGGCCAGUAGGGGUCACUAGAACUGACGGUGGAGCGGUGAAAUGCGUAGAUAUCGUCAGGAAUGCCGGUGGUGAAGACGGGUGACUGGGCUGGUCUGACACUGAGGCACGAAAGCGUGGGGAGCGAACGGGAUUAGAUACCCUUGUAGUC